UUCCCAACAAUAACACCAAGUACUCUCUCUCUCUCUCUCUCUCUUUCUCUCUCUUUCUCUCUCUCCCCCUCCCUCUGUCUCUCGCUGGUAAUCAUUUCAGCUAUCAUCGCUCACCACCCUCGCUCAGCGAGACUUGAGGGGAAGAAAGAACAAGAAGCAGGAAGCUUUUCCUUUGCGGGGAAUGUUGUCUGGGUCGAGGAAUCUACCAAACUAGAGAGAUAGAUGGAUAGAUCUGCUAUCUUCUUUUCCCUUCUUUUACGUUUGGUGAUCUCGGACCAGGCUUCAUUCCCCCCAAUCAUAGCUUCCGUCUUCGGCAAUCAUGAGUUUUCCGAGAUCCAUGCACAGGUUAGAGAGGAGAAGCAGAUUGGUGUAAUGAUGAUGCUUCUGUCUUUCUUUUGCCGUUCUUCUGAACUGACAGGACCACCAAAAGGGUUUCAUCAUUAUCUUAUCAUUACCACCGCAAGCCAUCUCUCCCUUCCUCUUUUCUUCCCCGGAUCUACCACCACACCUCAACAUAGAUGACCCUAAGCCUCGAUGAUCUCGUCAAAGAUCGUCUUGUAAGCUCUCGUAGAUCUUCUCCAAAGAUCGACAGUCAUCUAUCUGUAUGUUCACUACCACAUGUAGGUUUGUCGAUCACAUAACCUCUUGUGGCCUCCUCACAUCAUCAACCUUCUUCUCACAUCUCUCUCAUCCACUUCUUUUCCUGCUCAUUUUCAUCUUUCUCAUGCCUAAAGAAAUGAUAUAUCAUACAUAUAUCUCGUUCUCUCUAACCCCCUGAAAACCUGCAGAUCCAUAUCUCCGUUCUUAUAUAUAGAUUCUGUGCCUCAUUUCUGAUUCUCGAGUCACGUUUCAGAUGGGUCUGUAUUGAUCGAAAACUAGGAGAUGUUACCCUACUGCUCCAUGCUUCUGUCUUGAUUUUGACCUUGUAGCAUCAUGAACUAAUGUUGCAGUUUUCACAUGCUAUACUUCGUUUUCCAAGAACACUGAAAUGUAGGGUUGAAGAUGAUGAGCAAAUAAUGUUAUCAGAUAUGUGGUCAAAUCUCUUUCAGGUACAUGAUCUUCUAAGCACCUCUUUGUCCUGCAAUCGACUUCUCUGACAGACCACACGAUCUGAUAUUAGCUAAUAUUAAGUGUCUUGGAAUUCUGUGUGGGAGAUGUUGGGCAUUAUCAGCACCAGUUACCCAUGAAUCACUAUCUUCAUGCGUCAACAUGCAUGUAGAACAAGUGCACUAAUUCUGACACCACACCUGCUGUAGUUUUCGUAUGAUUAUAAUCAAUGGGUUCCCAACAAAUGUAAGAGCUGAGAGGGCAUGUGUGGCAUUCGACAUGUAGCUCCUGGGAAUGGUGUCUCAAAGGGAGGACUGUGGAACUACAGUGGAAAGAAAGACACGUCCUGUGCUCAUGGCUAACCUAGGGUUUAGGCCUACGGAGUUGUUGUUAGGGUUUCUUGGGUGGGGGAGGAAAAAGAGGGAGGACCGAACCCACCCUCAAUAAGACUGUGUCGACCUCUCUCCUUCAUGCAUUGGAUCCCAUCUCUCACCCACAUCACCUGACAACCUUUCUCUUGGGAAACCUCACCCUCUCGCGUCCAACUCAACUCAGGGAGGAAGAUAAAUGCUUUGUUGCUAAGCACGAGGGCUCGAGAAGACCACCUUGGAAUCUAGUCCUCGGUCACCCACGACACCUAUGUUGUGAACCGCAUAGAUAUGUAGAUUAGGAAAUGGACAUUCUUCCAUGUGCUAAAUCAUACGUCUAAUUCAUAUUAACCAUCACAUGACAUCCAAUCUCAAACGCAUAUUAGCAUACACAUUCCUGCUAUGGAAUCGUAUGACGGUCUCAGGCAUCAUUCUCUCACUCGGGCUGCUGCUGCUGCUGCUUCUCCUCGUGGACGAAGGCCGAGAGACGGGGAAACCGGAAAGACCUGCCGAUCCCCACCGCGGACUUGAAGUGGAUCUUGUCUCCCCCCUCGUGGAUGCUUAUUUCGGCGACGAUGGGCACCCACAGCAGGAGGGACCCGCUUGCUCCUCACCCCCGUCAUCUCUCUCGUCCGCCUCCUUCACCCACCCGCACUCCUCGAGGUUCCUCACCGGGAGGACGCCCUUGCUUCCUCCAGCGUCGUGACCGCGUGCCGGUAGCAUUCCGCCGUUCCGUGAAUGAUCUCGGCGCCUUCCCUCUCCUCGUUGGUGAUUACAAGGGAGCCCACGACCGCUGCUUGGCCUUGGAAUGCAGUCCUUCGGUGGUGGGAAUUUAAGCAAACGGGUUGAGGGAAGUUGAGCUAAUAGCAGCAGUUUGGUCUGUCCAACUCUAAAUUGAUGCAAGGCGGGAGAACGACAAGCCAUGAUUCAAGAGUGAAGGUUGCGAUUUAUGAGUGGAUUUCUAGCAAGCAUUACAAACAUCUUUCCAUCUCAACUCUUGUUGAUGUGCGGCAAGCACCCUUUUAAUUCCACCGCGCAGUUCAUUGCAUCCAA